CGGCUGAGUGACUUGAUCUACUCUAAUCACAGCAGUAGACACAGAAUGUCAUGACAUUUCCUGGUGAUUGUAUACAAUUGAAGUAAUUUGGGCUUAUGUUUACCCAUACUGCGGUUUCCUGAUGACUCUAGCUCUCCCUGGCCGGUGUAGAGCCUGGAUCAUUUCUCAUCAGCAGGAGGGAGGGGAGGAUUGUCUGUCUGAGCCAUCUCCAUCUUUUGCUGCUACUUUGGCGGCUGGCUGGCUGGGAGUAGCCCCACUGCUGUGAACAUCAUUGAUUCAUUCACCUCAGCAUCAUCACACACAUACAGCCCACGCCUCUCCAACGAUACACAAUCUGGCAUGUGUGCCACCACAGCUAGUGACGUUCAGUCAGUCACAUUCCUAUAAAUGGGGGCUCAAGAGGUCAGGAGUGUGUCCCCAUUAGCACAGUUGGUCCAUGGGAGCUCCCAGGAGAUCUGGCAGACGGGCCACUAUGGACCCAUUUGCAGAGGCACACUCAGAAAAGCGGACAUAUCUACUGCUGUGGUGGUCAAGACACUCCGGGAUGGCUUAAAUCAGCCUGAGGCAAAAUAGUUUGUGGACGGGAUCCUUUUACAUGGGACAGUGUGUAAACACCACCACCUGGUCCGGAUGCUGUACUGCCAGACCCAGCGACUACCCAUCUACCUGGUUAUGUAGUCCUUGCAACCCCCUGCACUACUAUGGACCCUGAGGAAUGUAAAACAAUGGCCGGGACCUCAAGUUCAACUUUAUUAGCUGUAACAAAUACAUUGGAAAUCGUACACACCAGUGCUCUUACUAAUAAACCAUGUUGAAUAUGAAUAAUAUUGUAUUUCUAUUCCCAAUAUUAUGUAAAUUCAUUAAUCCAUUUUUCAGAUACAUUUAAUUGAAAGGUCCACAGAUAAAUAAUUGGUCAAUUAAAAUUUCAAUCAUCCACUGACUUAACUGAAUAAGAUUAAAUACAUUUCCCUUCUCUCCAGAGGGAUUCGGAGUCCUUGGAUCCACUCCAGCACUUUCCGGUGGCAAAGCAGAUGGCAGCAGGCCUGAUAAGUUGGAGGUGCCAAAAUGACAAGCUGGCCAAUCAGAGGACAGCUGAGGUCCCUCUCAAAUGGCAGGCUCCAGAGAGGAUGAUGAAGCAUCCAACCACAGACAGGAGUGAUGUAUGGUCUUUUGGAAUCUGUAUGAAUUGAUCACAUUGGAUCUCUCAGGUAUGACCUGAUGAAGUACUGCUGGAUGUGGAGCUUCAAGGACCGCCCUGUGUCCUCCGCCAUAAUCAAGCUUCUGGAGUCCUACACAUACCUGGAUGACACUACAGACAUCUACAUCCCAGAGGGCAGACAACUUGGACUACAGCAAGAGGGCAGGUGUGCUCCUCUAAAUGUCUAGCCUGAAGCAUCACAUUGAUGAAUGAAGAUGCUAAAAGCAAGCAGGGGUGGACUGGCCAUCUGGCAUUUCUGGCAAAUGCCAGAUGGGCCUGUCUAACUUAUUUUGUGUGCAAAAUGAUCAUUAUCUGGCUAAUAAUGGGGGCCUUAAACUACAAAUUUGCCAGUGAGGGGGGCCUCGAGAAAAACAAUGGCCUGGUGUGUUAAAUGCCAGGGCCGACUUCUGGUCCCAGAUUUCUGGUCCCCUGAAAGCAAGGAUUUAGUCCCAUACAAAGCAUGGCUGUAAUUGAUUCUAGGUUGAUGUGUACUGUACUGUGGUAUCAACAUUCAGAGAGAUUAUUUGAUUAAACCGAGAUUAAAUGUUGUAAAUGUGUUAACGUAAAUGUGUGAAAGUACAGUUGAAGUCGGAAAUUGACAUACCUUAGCCAAAUACAUUUAAACCGUUUUUCACAAUUCCUGA